AAUUUGAAAAUAAUUUGAAGGCUUUUAGGGUCAUGUUUGCAACUCUGAACAGUACAGUGCUUUGUUACCAGAAUGGUAAUAUUGCCUCCAUGUGUCUUGUAGAUUAAAGAGCUAAGGACUGACCCAAGAAAUAUAUCUCACAUCUGUCACACCUGGAUUGUAGGAAUUUAAAGUAGGUCCACAACUGAAGUUGACUGGAGCCAAACCUGGAGCUGCUGCUUUGCGUUUGGGCCUGAUAGCAGGUUAAUACAAAGUGUAUGAAAAUUCAAGAAUCAAGAACUGCUGCAGAACAGGCUAAAACUUCAACAGCUUGUGGGGGAAGAUAGCCGUAGGCUCCGUGAACAAGCAAGCACCCUGAUACAUGCUUUGGAGGGCAACACAAAGUGUGGAAAACAAGGCAAGCUGCAUGAGGAAUACCUGACUCUUUUCUUUCUGGCUCCAUGGGAUGUGUUCUCACCCAGGGGAAGCAGAUCGUUGGUCUCAAAGGCUAUGUACACCACACCAAACUCAAAGCAGUGACCCGGGUGAGUUAAAUGGAAGCUAGAAUGCUUUUUCUCAGAUGGGAUGUGUACUUGGCAUAUUGGCAAGUGGUAUUUUUCCUGAAUCGCCUCC
rnacentral:lncRNA from 1 species